AUGUUCCAGGGCUCGGGAAUUCCCGAGAAAAACCGGGAAAAGGCGGCUGGGAGCUGCCCUUAUCAGCCACGUGUAGCGGCCGGGGAGGGACGGGCUGAGCAAACAGGAACAGGAACCGGGGCGCACCGGGAGCUGCCGGGGGUCCCCACCCGCCGCACCCCGGCCCCGGGGCCCGCCUGUCCCCGGUGGGAGGGCCCGGGAAGGUUCCGGGAUCAGCCGAGCGUGGCUCCGGGGCAGGAACCGAGGGAAGGCGGCUCCCGAGCCCAGCGCUCCCCUGGCCGCGGGCACGGGGGGGGAUUCUCGGGGUCCUGUGGUGGUCCCGGGGUCCGGCACAGCUCCGUGUCCCCCAUCCCUGUCCCCAUCCGUGUCCCCGUGCCGCUGAGCCCUCCCAGAUGUCACCCCCGGCACGGCUUUGGGGGGGAUAAAAACCCCCCUUUUCCCUCUGGGACGUGGGGACAAGGGCACAGAGACUGCGGCCACCACCCCGCUGGUGGCCCCGGUGUCCCCAGCGCCCCUUCCCCGUGCCAGAGCCAGGCGGGACCAUCCCCGGAGUGUUCCCAGAGUGUCCCCGGGGGUCCCCAGAGUGUUCCCGGGGGUCCCCAGAGUGUCCCCGGGGUCCCACAUCCCAUUCCCAGCACGGACACCUCAUGCCGGUACCUCCUUCUGCCGCGUCCGGGGGUCCCGAGGUGUCCCGGGGGUGUCCCGGGGGUCUCGGGGGUGUUCCGGGAUGUCCCGGUUGUGUCUCGGAGGUGUCCCGGGGUGUCCCAGGGGUGUUCCGAGGUGUCCCGGGGGUGUCCCCAGUCCGGGGAUGUCCCCGGCGGGUGAUGCUGUCCCCACUCGGGCUGUCCCUGUCCCCAUCCCGUGUCCCUGUCCCCACCGUGUCUGUCGCUGUCCCCAUCCCGGGGCUGUCCCUGUCCCCACCGGGGCUGUCCCCACUCCAUGUCCCUGUCCCCGUGUCCCCACCCCAUGGCGCUGUCCCCAUGUCCCUGUCCCCACCGUGGCUAUCACUGUCCCCAUCCCGUGUCUGUCCCUGUCCCCAUGUCGCUGUCCCCAGCCGUGUCCCCAUGGCGCUGUCCCCGUGUCCCUGUCCCCAGCCGUGUCGCUGUCCCCAUGUCCCUGUCCCCGUGUCCCUGUCCCCAACCGUGCCCCUGUCCCCGUGUCCCUGUCCUCAUGUCGCUGUCCCCGUGUCGCUGUCCCCAUGUCGCUGUCCCCAUGGCGCUGUCCCCAGCUGUGUCCCUGUCCCCGUGUCCCUGUCCCCAUGUCCCUGUCCCCGUGUCGCUGUCCCCAGCUGUGUCCCUGUCCCCAUGUCGCUGUCCCCACCGUGUCGCUGUCCCCAGAGUGGCUGCAGGACCGGCGGCACUGCGGGCGGCGCUGGCAGGCUCAGGUGCAGCGGGUGCGGGAGCGGCUGCGGGAGGCGCUGCGGGACAUGCCCGAGCACCC
rnacentral:lncRNA from 1 species